GAUGAACGCUGGCGGCGUGCCUAAUACAUGCAAGUCGAGCGAACAGACGAGGAGCUUGCUCCUCUGACGUUAGCGGCGGACGGGUGAGUAACACGUGGAUAACCUACCUAUAAGACUGGGAUAACUUCGGGAAACCGGAGCUAAUACCGGAUAAUAUAUUGAACCGCAUGGUUCAAUAGUGAAAGACGGUUUUGCUGUCACUUAUAGAUGGAUCCGCGCCGCAUUAGCUAGUUGGUAAGGUAACGGCUUACCAAGGCAACGAUGCGUAGCCGACCUGAGAGGGUGAUCGGCCACACUGGAACUGGGACACGGUCCAGACUCCUACGGGAGGCAGCAGUAGGGAAUCUUCCGCAAUGGGCGAAAGCCUGACGGAGCAACGCCGCGUGAGUGAUGAAGGUCUUCGGAUCGUAAAACUCUGUUAUUAGUGAAGAACAAUUGUGUAAGUAACUAUGCACGUCUUGACGGUACCUAAUCAGAAAGCCACGGCUAACUACGUG
rnacentral:rRNA from 1 species